rnacentral:rRNA from 1 species
GACGAACGCUGGCGACGUGCUUAACACAUGCAAGUCGAACGCUGAAGCCUGGUGCUUGCACUGGGCGGAUGAGGGGCGAACGUGUGAGUAAUACGUGAGUCACCUGCUCUUGACUCUGGGAUAAUCCUGGGAAACUGGGUCUAAUACUGGAUACGACAUGCCACUGCAGGGUGGUGUGUGGAAAGGGGUUUACUGGUUUUGGAUGGGCUCACGGCCUAUCAGCUUGUUGGGGGGGUAGUGGCCUACCAAGGCGACGGCGGGUAGCCGGCCUGAGAGGGUGACCGGCCACACUGGGACUGAGACACGGCCCAGACUCCUACGGGAGGCAGCAGUGGGGAAUAUUGCACAAUGGGCGGAAGCCUGAUGCAGCGACGCCGCGUGAGGGAUGACGGCCUUCGGGUUGUAAACCUCUUUCAGCACGGAAGAAGCGAGAGUGACGGUACGUGCAGAAGAAGCGCCGGCUAACUACGUG